GACAGAGGGUGCAAACGUUGUUCGGAAUUACUGGGCGUAAAGCGCGUGUAGGCGGCCAUGCAAGUCGGAUGUGAAAGCCCUCAGCUCAACCGGGGAAGUGCACUCGAAACUGCAAGGCUAGAGUCUCGGAGAGGAUCGUGGAAUUCUCGGUGUAGAGGUGAAAUUCGUAGAUAUCGAGAGGAACACCGGUGGCGAAGGCGGCGAUCUGGACGAUGACUGACGCUGAGACGCGAAAGCGUGGGGAGCAAACAGG
rnacentral:rRNA from 1 species